UGUAGAAAAAACAGAAGUCAAUGCAUGCAUUUUAUAUAUGUAUAUGUGAUACAUUUACAUAUAUAUGCAUAUACAUAAAAAUAUAUGUAUAAACAUAUUUAUGUGUGUACAUACAUAUGUAAAUAUACAUGUAUACAUAUUUGCAUACACUCUAUAAAAAUACACACUAUCAGAAUGAGUUAAUCAUGUUGAAAAGCAAUUAAUCAUUUAGAGCAAAAUAACUAUCCACCCGUAUCCACCCUAAGACAGCUAAUAAAUUUGCAGAAAGAGUGAUUUCAACAAAGUAAACAAGGUACUAUACAUAACUACUCACACCUGAUUUCAGAAAAUAGAGAAAGUUUGUAGGUGUUCUAUAUCAAUUAUAGUUGGACACAGCUAACAGAAAGCCCAAACCCCAAAUCCAUUUAAUGAGGAAAGCACCAUUGAGUAGAUUUUAAGACAGAACAUUCUAGAUGCAAAUGGAGCUUUGGGUAAAGCGUCACAGGAUGUAAUCAGCCCAAGUUUCUCCUUCCUGUUUCUAAGUGAUACUUUCCUGUUUGUUCAUGAUGUCAAGUGGCCUGCUAGAGACUUAUGUACAGAGAAAGGAACAGGAGCCUUUUUUCCAGAAAACCCAAUAAAAACAUCAUUAGGACUUGGGGGCUCUGAUUGACCACACAUCCAAUCGUGUAAAGGUCUGAUUGACAAGACUUGGAUCACUCACCUUCUCCCUGAGCCACUCCAGUGAACACACACCAGAUUGGGAGGGGGAGAGGAGCCUCCAGAGGAAAACAACAGAGGGAUGAAUGCAUGCUAGAGUAAGGGGGGAAAAACAAUGAUCCACUGUUCUUGAAGACCUGUCCUCAUGAAAAUAUGCUUUUCUGAAGAUCAAUCCUCAACUAACAGUUUUGGGCUCUUCUGUCUUGUUUGAGGAACACAUUCAUUUUCAGUCCUUGGCAUUGACUUUUGGCUAGACUCCCAAGUUCAGCUCUGUGGUCUACCCCAUUCUUUUGAGUUAAAUUGUUUGUUUAUGGAUUUUUUUGAGGUGGCAAUGCUAUGCCCUUUCAUUUUAUUUUUUCUAUUGCUCACCAGCUGGAAUUGAGUUGUCGUUGGCCAUGUGGAUGAGUACACCAUCCCCAUGAUGACAGAAUGACAAGGUUGAAAGGCCUGAGCCACUCAGAUUUCCUUCUUAGUAUUGUUUACAUGUAGCUAUAAAAAAAAAUUGUAUCUUAUUUAAUCCACUAGAAUUUGAAGUUUCUAUUACAGCAAAUGUGACUAUAUCCUAACUAAUACAAGCACCUAAAUUUUUUCAAGCAAUGGUUCAGCACUUCAUGUGCUUUAUCACAUUUGAUAUUCACAGUUCCUCGGCUCAGUGGGUCUGAUAAUUAUUUCCAUUUUACAAAUGAAUUGUUUAUGGACUAUUUUCAAAAAACCCCUCUCAAACUCAAGUCUGGGCACUGGAGUAUGUAAACUGGAAGAAUGAGAAAGACAUUUCACAAGAUACUUCUGUGCAGAGAGUUUUAUGGGCACUACUUUAUAGAUUCUCAAAUUCCAUAUAUACUUUUCCCCAAAAGAGAUAAGCCUGACAAGAGACUUGCAUUCCAAAUCAUCUUACUUUACUAAAGAAAGCGAAGUGUCAUAGCUUUCCCAGAUUGCACCAGGGUGGUUAACUCUGGGGCUCCUAUUGAAACAUCCACAGUUUGAAAUACUUGUUUCAACUAUACCUCCAUUAGUGAUUAAUUAAAAUACCUUGAAUUUCAUGCUCUCUUUGUCUUGAUUACUCAUGUCUGUUAGGAAUGAGGUUUGUCCUGCCUUAGAAGGGUCUGAGUUCAGAAAAACCCAAGCAGUACAGGUCAUGAUAUUGGUUGUUAAAAAAAGAACAGUACUGUUUUCUGGGACUAGAAUAUUUUUCAAGAACAUCUUAGACAAAAGCCCACUGAUAAUCUUUACAAUUUUUUUUUCUCACAUUAUAUGGGUAUUAAAGUAGUUAGAACUUAUUUUUAAUCAAAUUAUAAUGUGCAAUUUAAUAUGGUAGUCAAAGUCCUAAUUUUGCCAAAACAUGAAGGUUUAUUCCACUAGAAUAGAUUCUCAUUAUAGUUUAUUUUACUAAAUGUAUUUUUCUUCCUCCAAUAAUUUAAGAAUAAACUUGUACAGUCACUAGUAUGGCAAUACGUAAAAACGUGGAUGUGUAACCGAUGUGAUUCUGCAAUCUGUAUACGGGGUAAAAAUGGGAGUUCAUAACCCACUUGAAUCUAAUGUAUGAAAUAUGAUAUGUCAAGAGCUUUGUAAUGUUUUGAACAACCAAUAAAAA
rnacentral:lncRNA from 1 species